GUGCCAGCCGCCGCGGUAAUUCCAGCUCCAAUAGCGUAUAUUAAAGUUGUUGUGGUUAAAAAGCUCGUAGUUGAACCUUGGGCCUGGCUGGCCGGUCCGCCUCACCGCGUGCACUGGUCCGGCCGGGCCUUUCCCUCUGUGGAACCCCAUACCCUUCACUGGGCGUGGCGGGGAAACAGGACAUUUACUUUGAAAAAAUUAGAGUGCUCCAGGCAGGCCUAUGCUCGAAUACAUUAGCAUGGAAUAAUAAAAUAGGACGCGCGGUUCUAUUUUGUUGGUUUAUAGGACCGCCGUAAUGAUUAAUAGGGACAGUCGGGGGCAUCAGUAUUCAACUGUCAGAGGUGAAAUUCUUGGAUCAGUUGAAGACUAACUACUGCGAAAGCAUUUGCCAAGGAUGUUUUCAUUAAUCAGGAACGGAAGUUAGGGGAUCGAAGACGAUCAGAUACCGUCGUAGUCUUAACCAUAAACUAUGCCGACUAGGGAUCGGACGGUGUUAUUCAUGACCCGUUCGGCACCUUACGAGAAAUCAAAGUGCUUGGGCUCCAGGGGGAGUAUGGUCGCAAGGCUGAAACUUAAAGAAAUUGACGGAAGGGCACCACCAGGGGUGGAGCCUGCGGCUUAAUUUGACUCAACACGGGGAAACUCACCAGGUCCAGACACAAUAAGGAUUGACAGAUUGAGAGCUCUUUCUUGAUUUUGUGGGUGGUGUGCAUGGCCGUUCUUAGUUGGUGGGGUGACUUGUCUGCUUAAUUGCGAUAACGAACGAGACCUUAACCUGCUAAAUAGCCCGCAUUGCUCCGGCAGUGCGCUGGCUUCUUAGAAGGGACU
rnacentral:rRNA from 1 species